CCUACGGGAGGCAGCAGUGGGGAAUCUUGCGCAAUGCGCGAAAGCGUGACGCAGCAACGCCGCGUGGGGGAAGAAGGCCUUCGGGUUGUAAACCCCUUUCAGUUGGGACGAAGCUUCGCCGGUUAAUAGCCGGCUGGAGUGACGGUACCUUCAGAAGAAGCUCCGGCUAACUACGUGCCAGCAGCCGCGGUAAUACGUAGGGAGCUAGCGUUGUCCGGAAUCAUUGGGCGUAAAGCGCGUGUAGGCGGUCCGGUAAGUCCGCUGUGAAAGUCGGGGGCUCAACCCUCGGAUGCCGGUGGAUACUGUCGGGCUUGAGUACGGAAGAGGCGAGUGGAAUUCCUGGUGUAGCGGUGAAAUGCGCAGAUAUCAGGAGGAACACCAAUUGCGAAGGCAGCUCGCUGGGACGUUACUGACGCUGAGACGCGAAAGCGUGGGGAGCA
rnacentral:rRNA from 1 species